UACGUAGGGUGCGAGCGUUAAUCGGAAUUACUGGGCGUAAAGCGUGCGCAGGCGGUUUUGUAAGUCUGACGUGAAAGCCCCGGGCUCAACCUGGGAAUUGCGUUGGAGACUGCAAGGCUUGAAUCUGGCAGAGGGGGGUAGAAUUCCACGUGUAGCAGUGAAAUGCGUAGAGAUGUGGAGGAACACCGAUGGCGAAGGCAGCCCCCUGGGCCUGUACUGACGCUCAUGCACGAAAGCGUGGGGAGCAAACAGG
rnacentral:rRNA from 1 species